rnacentral:lncRNA from 1 species
AUGUCAGAUGAAGCAGUGAAUAGAAGAAUGAACGCUCUGAUGAUUUUACAUGUCGGGCAUGAACCCAACUUCAACCUCCAACCUUCCUUCACCGGAUGGAUUUUUCAUAACCUAACCUCCUCUUUUUUGUAUUUUCACUUCUAUUCAGAAUCCACCCUAGUCAUUGCACUGUGUGGCAAAUGUAAAUAUGCCAGUAUAUUCUCCACCGGUGCUGACCAGAGUUCAGAGAGGAAAGGGAGGGGGAAAAGUGAAAAGACUGACAAAGGGAUCUGAAGCCCAACUCCUCCAUCUGAUCUGGCAGAGUCAGGUCAAUUUUAUGCUGAUUUUAUGGGUGAGAGGAUGGGAACCACUGCCAGGGAGAGGAAGAGGAACACAAGGGACAGAGAGGGAAAGAUAACAGAAAGAAGAGAUACGGACAGAGACAGAGAGAAUGAUGGGUAGCUGACAAGAACAUCUUUAAAUGUAUGGCAGUGUAUAUUUCAAAUGCUGUGACUGCUUAUUUAUUUUAUCUUUUUCUAAAUCACUUGUAAGCUUCAAUAAAAUGUGAUUCAUCAAAACAUAACUAGAUUGGAACUCAGCACCAAUAUGUGGGAGAUAACAAAAUACUGAAUUUGUAUUGAACGUAUUGUAAAUGGAUGUAUUGCAUUUGCUCAUACAGGGAGCCAGCUGUAGUGUGAAUCAUAAACAAAUGAUUCAAUUACCUGUGAGCCAGUUUGAUUCAUUGUACAUUUGUUCAUUCAUUCACUCUCCAUACAUUCAUUCAUCAAACCAUUCAAAUGUUUAGGGUCAGACUGUUUUUUUUUUAAGAAAUUAAUACAUUUAUUGAACCAAGGAUGCAUUAAAUUGACCAAAUAUGACAGCAAUUUCAGCUUUGCAUUACAGACAUAAAUUUUAAAAUAUAUUCAAAUAGAACAUAAGACUUCUUUCAAACACGUUAAAAAAUCAUGCCAAAAAAAAAACUUUGUGGGUCAUAAAAUGCAUGUGAGAUAGCGAAACGAGACAUUUAAACAGCUUUAAAUGUCACAGUGCAGGACACUGCUGUCAAUGUUCUUGCAUCAACUACUUUGAUAUAAAAAGUAAGAAGAGGGAAAAGACAAUAAAAAGCGUAAUAAACAAAAAGAGAUGCAACGCCAUAAUUGGAGGCAAGAGAAGGCGAUAGGUGAGAGGGAGGGGUAAUAGAGGGGCAUUGCCCUCCAACCACGCACCUUCUGUGCUGCAUAUCCUGGAGGCUCCCGUGUUCUUACAGAUUCAAAAAUACCUUGAGACCCAUGCUUAUUCAUACACAGAGGCAAAGGACUUGCAAAUCUCUAUCCCGGUGGGAUUUUGCCACGACGGGGGGCUCACAUGAAAAGCCCCAAAAAUUCAGAUGAGCUCUUUUAUUAGUAACGCCCGCUGUCCCUUCAACAAGCCAGAUCCGGCUUCAAAUCCGAGCAAUGCAAUCAAAUAUUUGCCAUCUAGUAUGAGUUUUCAAAGCAGAGAUGUAAACGUUUUGUCACUUUUUAAGAAAGACGACAGUACCUGACGCGCUCAAGUAACACUAAUU